rnacentral:rRNA from 1 species
GGGUUGUGAGGUUAAGUGACUAAGCGUACACGGUGGAUGCCUAGGCAGUCAGAGGCGAUGAAGGGCGUGCUAAUCUGCGAAAAGCGUCGGUAAGGUGAUAUGAACCGUUACAACCGGCGAUACCCGAAUGGGGAAACCCAGUGUGUUUCGACACACUAUCAUGUCAUGAAUACAUAGUGGCAUGAGGCGAACCGGGGGAACUGAAACAUCUAAGUACCCCGAGGAAAAGAAAUCAACCGAGAUUCCCCCAGUAGCGGCGAGCGAACGGGGAGGAGCCCAGAACCUGAAUCGGCUUGUGUGUUAGUGGAAGCGUCUGGAAAGUCGCGCAGCAAAGGGUGAUAGCCCCGUACACUAAAAUGCACAGGUCGUGAGUUCGAUGAGUAGGGCGGGACACGUGACAUCCUGUCUGAAUAUGGGGGGACCAUCCUCCAAGGCUAAAUACUCCUGACUGACCGAUAGUGAACCAGUACCGUGAGGGAAAGGCGAAAAGAACCCCGGCGAGGGGAGUGAAAUAGAACCUGAAACCGUGUACGUACAAGCAGUGGGAGCACCUUCGUGGUGUGACUGCGUACCUUUUGUAUAAUGGGUCAGCGACUUAUAUUUUGUAGCAAGGUUAACCGUAUAGGGGAGCCGUAGGGAAACCGAGUCUUAACUGGGCGAAUAGUUGCAAGGUAUAGACCCGAAACCCGGUGAUCUAGCCAUGGGCAGGUUGAAGGUUGGGUAACACUAACUGGAGGACCGAACCGACUAAUGUUGAAAAAUUAGCGGAUGACUUGUGGCUGGGGGUGAAAGGCCAAUCAAACCGGGAGAUAGCUGGUUCUCCCCGAAAGCUAUUUAGGUAGCGCCUCGUGAACUCAUCUUCGGGGGUAGAGCACUGUUUCGGCUAGGGGGCCAUCCCGGCUUACCAAACCGAUGCAAACUCCGAAUACCGAAGAAUGUUAUCACGGGAGACACACGGCGGGUGCUAACGUCCGUCGUGAAGAGGGAAACAACCCAGACCGCCAGCUAAGGUCCCAAAGUCAUGGUUAAGUGGGAAACGAUGUGGGAAGGCAUAGACAGCCAGGAUGUUGGCUUAGAAGCAGCCAUCAUUUAAAGAAAGCGUAAUAGCUCACUGGUCGAGUCGGCCUGCGCGGAAGAUGUAACGGGGCUAAACCAUGCACCGAAGCUGCGGCAGCGACGCUUAGGCGUUGUUGGGUAGGGGAGCGUUCUGUAAGCCGUUGAAGGUGGCCUGUGAGGGUUGCUGGAGGUAUCAGAAGUGCGAAUGCUGACAUAAGUAACGAUAAAGCGGGUGAAAAGCCCGCUCGCCGGAAGACCAAGGGUUCCUGUCCAACGUUAAUCGGGGCAGGGUGAGUCGACCCCUAAGGCGAGGCUGAAAAGCGUAGUCGAUGGGAAACAGGUUAAUAUUCCUGUACUUGGUGUUACUGCGAAGGGGGGACGGAGAAGGCUAGGCUAGCCGGGCGACGGUUGUCCCGGUUUAAGCGUGUAGGGGGUGUGACCUGGUAAAUCCGGUUGCAUAUCAACCCUGAGGCGUGAUGACGAUGCACUACGGUGCAGAAGUAGUUGAUGCCCUGCUUCCAGGAAAAGCCUCUAAGCUCUAGGUAACAUUAAAUCGUACCCCAAACCGACACAGGUGGUCAGGUAGAGAAUACCAAGGCGCUUGAGAGAACUCGGGUGAAGGAACUAGGCAAAAUGGUGCCGUAACUUCGGGAGAAGGCACGCUGGCAUGUAGGUGAAGUCCCUUGCGGAUGGAGCUGAAGCCAGUCGAAGAUACCAGCUGGCUGCAACUGUUUAAUAAAAACACAGCACUGUGCAAACACGAAAGUGGACGUAUACGGUGUGACGCCUGCCCGGUGCUGGAAGGUUAAUUGAUGGGGUCAGCCGCAAGGCGAAGCUCUUGAUCGAAGCCCCAGUAAACGGCGGCCGUAACUAUAACGGUCCUAAGGUAGCGAAAUUCCUUGUCGGGUAAGUUCCGACCUGCACGAAUGGCGUAAUGAUGGCCAGGCUGUCUCCACCCGAGACUCAGUGAAAUUGAACUCGCUGUGAAGAUGCAGUGUACCCGCGGCAAGACGGAAAGACCCCGUGAACCUUUACUAUAGCUUGACACUGAACAUUGAGCCUUGAUGUGUAGGAUAGGUGGGAGGCUUUGAAGCGUGGACGCCAGUCUGCGUGGAGCCAUCCUUGAAAUACCACCCUUUAAUGUUUGAUGUUCUAACUCGGCCCCAUAAUCUGGGGUGAGGACAGUGUCUGGUGGGUAGUUUGACUGGGGCGGUCUCCUCCCAAAGAGUAACGGAGGAGCACGAAGGUUAGCUAAUCACGGUCGGACAUCGUGAGGUUAGUGCAAAGGCAUAAGCUAGCUUGACUGCGAGAGUGACGGCUCGAGCAGGUACGAAAGUAGGUCUUAGUGAUCCGGUGGUUCUGAAUGGAAGGGCCAUCGCUCAACGGAUAAAAGGUACUCCGGGGAUAACAGGCUGAUACCGCCCAAGAGUUCAUAUCGACGGCGGUGUUUGGCACCUCGAUGUCGGCUCAUCACAUCCUGGGGCUGAAGUAGGUCCCAAGGGUAUGGCUGUUCGCCAUUUAAAGUGGUACGCGAGCUGGGUUUAGAACGUCGUGAGACAGUUCGGUCCCUAUCUGCCGUGGGCGUUGGAAGAUUGAGAGGGGUUGCUCCUAGUACGAGAGGACCGGAGUGAACGCACCACUGGUGUUCGGGUUGUCAUGCCAAUGGCAUUGCCCGGUAGCUAAGUGCGGAAAAGAUAAGCGCUGAAAGCAUCUAAGCGCGAAACUUGCCUCAAGAUGAGUCUUCCCUGGGCCUUUAAGGCCCCUGAAGGAACGUUUAAGACUAAGACGUUGAUAGGCUGGGUGUGUAAGUGCAGCGAUGCAUUGAGCUAACCAGUACUAAUGAUCCGUGAGGCUUAACCUUACAACACCGAAGGUGUUU